CCCCGCGGCCGCUUCGCUCCCUCCCUCCCUCGCUCCCUCCCUCCACCCCACCCCGCCCUGCCCCCUCCUCGCUCCGCGCCGCCCGCCACGGGGAGGGCGCACUGGGCUCGCGUCACUCCUCCCCCUCUGGACCUGGCUGCGGGCUUCUGCUCUUAUCGCCUCCCGGACUCUCCGGGGUCCUGCUCGCACUACAAAUUCCUUUCGGGCUCUUUCCCUUUCCCCAUCUGCCCUCUUCAAAGCCAGGGCUACAGAUCCUCAGGCAUUCUGCUGGGAGGAGAACUCCCAAUCCUGGCAAGACUCGACUACCUCUGACUUCAGCAAUUCAUUCUCUGUCCCUUCCAGCAGCCCGUUUCUUAUCACAGAAGUGCCCCAACCCCGCAACCCGUGAGUGGACACACCCUGCCCCUCCUCCACCCCCGCCGGACCCUGUGGGGACUGAGUUUUGGGGAGACAGUGCCCUGGAAGAGCUUCCUUAGCUACGGUCCCCAGUGCCCGAACUGACACCAUCUGUCAACUUCAUUUAGACAGUGCGGCCCUCAGCCACACGCCAGGGUGCCAGACGUCCCAAGGUAUUACAUGUUACGAAGUUUCUCUAAAUCUGUAAGAAAUGGCUCUGGUCUGCAGCAGGUCCUAGACAGUGGGCAGUGGGGACCCGCCCGGGACAAGGCAAGGUCUGCAAACUUGAAGCCUCCUCUUCGUUCUAGUAUACCAGCCCCCUUCCUGACUCCAGAAAGAAUGGGAGCUUAGUGGCUAAACGUCUGUGUUUCCAUCAUGGAUGUGUUCAAAUCUGUUGGGAAAGAACACAGCUGAUUGUGAAUUAGGUCAAAUUCUUUCUUCCUGCAAGAGUAUCCGUUUGUGGUGGGCAGGCUUUUGGUUAUUUGUUUACUUUUGCUCCGCUGAGAUUGAGGCAAAGGAGAGGGCUCUCUACCUGAGUCCCAGUCCCAGCCCAGCCACGGUUAACAUGGAAGUCUCCUUGCUGAUUUGUUUAGAUUGGUCCCACUCUCUAGGAGGUCCCUUCUUCUGGUGUGAGCCCCCUCCACUGAUUUUAUUCCCUAGAAACAACAAAAAUCUUGAUUUUUUUUAAAUGGACAAGUGCAGGGGUAUGGUUUAAUUAAAUGAUUUUAGAUCAGCCCGUGGGCUUGGUUUUUAACAGAAAGAAAGAGAGAGAGAGAGAGAGAGAGAGAGAGAGAGAGAGAGAGAGAGAGAGACCGUACAACUCAGAACUGAUGCCAUAUUGGGUUAGUCAGCUUCUCCAUCUGGGCUGUGGGUUCCCUUCCUCUUCCAAGCCGAUAGGGCACCACCCCUGCCCCAGAGCAAGGGAAUGUAAACUUAGCAGAAAUUGGAUUUCUCUGAUUUUGUUCUGCAAUCCACACUUUAUUCUAGGAAAUCGCUCCAUUGUUGUGGUUUAAAUCUUUUCUUAGCAUUGUUUCCUUUGUUUCGUGGGUUUUACAUGAAUUGGCUUAGACUAAACCAGUAGAAACGGGAGAGACCCAUACACACUAGCCAUCUUUGACGGCAUUAAGGAUCGGUCUGGGGGGAGCUGGCAUCCUCUGCGCCUUUCUCUUCCUUCAGCCUCAGCCUGGAUGGGAGAGCCCAUCGUUUUUACCACGUGUUUAGGUCCGUGCUUAGGGUUUUGAGCGCCCACGACGCCUUUCAAUAAUUGCUUGUGACACUAGGGUCUGGGUUUGCUUAGGUAAUUGCUAGGGUCUUUGCCUGCUGCCGUCCACUCCCUAGACCUUUAAAAUCGGCCAGCGCCACGUUAAGCUUUGUGGUGUUAGGUGGUUGCUCCAAAAGUAGGGAUUGAAGAGAGCAACUUAAUCUGGAAGGCAUAGCUAACAUUAAAAAACCCCCUUUACAGUCUACUCUCUCUCCUUGGCCAGGAACCUCUAUAGUCCUUGGUAGGAAAUCUAAGAGCUAGAUUUUACUUGGAUUCAUCCUUCAGCACUCCAAAUGCGUGUGUGUUCAGGGUCCGUGACCCAGUUGGCCAGGUCAGAGAUGCUAGGACAGAGGGCUAAUUUACCAGACCCGCCUCCAUAAAAACAAAACAAAACAACCCCCCAGGCCUCUUUCUAUCCAAUUCUAGAUGCUCAGGGUGGAAAUGCCACGUCCGAAUGUCCCCGGGAACCUGUCUCCACAGUGCCCACUCUCACCCCAACCCCGCAGGCAGGAACAAGUGCCAUUCAGGUUUCUACGUCGUGCUGUGUUUAGGGGUGGAGCUGCCAGGGGCACAGGCCAGAGCAUCUCCUAAAAGAAGAGGAAGAAGCUGAGAGGCCUGCACUUCAUAUCUGAAAAGAGAAUGUGGGUGUGGAUACCCCAUAGGCACGUUGAUUCUGCGAUACAGCUCGGGGGGGGGGGGGGUCUGCUGGCUUUAGGGCACUGGAUCUAGCUUUGAGAUUAUCUGGAAACCUGUGGGAGACUGGCGGCCGCGUGGGCCUUACAGUACAGCAACAUGAGCUCUCACGAGUGGCCACCCUGCCCUUGGUUGUCUCACCCCCACCCCCUUUUGAGUUUUCUCAGCCCCCUCCUUCCUUUCGCCCUGGGGGUGGCUAGGAUGGCUAGUCACUAAGACUCACGGGGAAAUCACUGCAGAACCCGGAGGGGUCACUCCAGGAUGGCACAGGGCACGAACACGGGGAUGCUACAGAAACACCCACCAACACCCGGAGGCUGCAAGGCUGGCCCCAGACGUCUCGGUUGGAGCCGGGAGGCCGGUUGGCUGCUAGCGGGCUUUCACGGAAGCGCCCUGGAGGUCCCAACUCAGUGGCCGGGUUUUCUUCUCUAGUCUGGCUGGGUCUCCUCACCCUCGGCCUUCCCUUCCCCCCAAAUAAAUAAAUAUCUGGGAGGGCAGCGAUCUCGGCGGGGCGCCGGGCCCCGCGCCUCCGCGCAGAAGAACUUCCUGGCGCAUCAAAACUCGCUGCAGUCCUCCCGCCGAGCGCAGGAUAUGGGGCGCGCUCGCCUCUCUUCAGAAAAGGAAACGUAGCUCUUCCAAAAAUAUAAAUCAGUUCUGACGUCCAAAUAUUUCUUUUGUCCUCCAGCAUCCUCUGUAGGGAUAAAUAAAACGUGCUCGGCGCCCAGAGGCUGACGAAGGACCUCGGGGCGCCCAGAAGCCGUCUCUGAAGUGCUGCUUCUGGGGAGUCUCCUUCCCCAUUUGCCACUCUCACCGGGUCGUGGACCUCUUCAGCUUGCCCCUCCGUCCCUUAGAAGGACCAAGUCUUUGAGGGCGAAUGGCUUGUGGGGCUGGCCUGAGGGGUGCUGGGAAAAAGUGAAGUCCGGGAGAGCAGGGCUCGAGUAGCCCCUUUCAGGGCUUAAUUUCCCAGUCAACACAGGGUGUGCGCCUAACUCUUGGUGGCCUCCGGUUCCAGUAGUACCAUGAGGACCCCGGAA